CACCGCCGCGGGAAUACGGAGGGUGCAAGCGUUAUCCGGAUUUAUUGGGUUUAAAGGGUCCGUAGGCGGAUCUGUAAGUCAGUGGUGAAAUCUCACAGCUUAACUGUGAAACUGCCAUUGAUACUGCAGGUCUUGAGUAAAUUUGAAGUGGCUGGAAUAAGUAGUGUAGCGGUGAAAUGCAUAGAUAUUACUUAGAACACCAAUUGCGAAGGCAGGUCACUAAGAUUUAACUGACGCUGAUGGACGAAAGCGUGGGGAGCGAACAGGAUUAGAUAUCCCCGUAGUCCCUGUCUCUUAUACA
rnacentral:rRNA from 1 species